GCCGAGGUGGUGGAAUGGCAGACACGCAGGACUCAAAAUCCUGUGCUCGCAAGGGCAUGAGGGUUCGACUCCCUCCCUCGGCACCA
rnacentral:tRNA from 2 species